rnacentral:rRNA from 1 species
GAUGAACGCUGGCGGCGUGCCUAAUACAUGCAAGUCGAGGGGAAACGACAUCGAAAGCUUGCUUUUGAUGGGCGUCGACCGGCGCACGGGUGAGUAACGCGUAUCCAACCUGCCCACCACUUGGGGAUAACCUUGCGAAAGUAAGACUAAUACCCAAUGACGUCUCUAGAAGACAUCUGAAGGAGAGUAAAGAUUUAUCGGUGAUGGAUGGGGAUGCGUCUGAUUAGCUUGAUGGCGGGGUAACGGCCCACCAAGGCGACGAUCAGUAGGGGGUGUGUGAGGAAGGUCACCCACACUGGAACAGGGAAACGGUCCAAACUCUUACGGGAGGCAGCAGUGAGGGAUAUUGGUCAAUGGGCGAGAGUCUGAACCUUCCAAGUAGCGUGCAGGAUGACGGCCCUAUGGUUUGUAAACUGCUUUUAUAAGGGAAUAAAGUGAGUCUCGUGAGACUUUUUGCCUGUACCUUAUGAAUAAGGACCGGCUAAUUCCGUGCCAGCCGCCGCAGUAA